GGAAUAUAGCUCAGCUGGUGGAGUGCUUGCCUCAUAUGCAUAAGGCCCUAGGUUCAAUCCCCAGUACCA
rnacentral:tRNA from 1 species